rnacentral:rRNA from 1 species
GAUGAACGCUGGCGGCGUGCCUAAUACAUGCAAGUCGAGCGAACAGACGAGGAGCUUGCUCCUCUGACGUUAGCGUCGGACGGGUGAGUAACACGUGGAUAACCUACCUAUAAGACUGGGAUAACUUCGGGAAACCGUAGCUAAUACCGGAUAAUAUAUUUAACCGCAUGGUUCAAUAGUUAAAGACGGUUUUUCUUUCACUUAUAGAUGGAUCCGCGCUGCAUUAGCUAGUUGGUAAGGUAACGGCUUACCAAGGCAACGAUGCAUAGCCGACCUGAGAGGGUGAUCGGACACACUGGAACUGAGACACGGGCAAGACUCCUACGGGAGGCAGCAGUAGGGAAUCUUCCGCAAUGGGCGAAAGCCUGACGGAGAAACGCCGCGUGAGUGAUGAAGGUCUUCGGAUCGUAAAACUCUGUUAUUAGGGAAGAACAAAUGUGUAAGUAACUAUGCACGUCUUGACGGUACCUAAUCAGAAAGCCACGGCUAACUACGUG